rfam:Shewanella sp. P1-14-1 AN944_contig000023, whole genome shotgun sequence.
GGGGGCGAUUCUGGAUUCGACAGGAUUCACGAAACCCUGGGAGCAUGUCGAGGGGCGGUUGGCCUCGUAAAAAGCCGCACUGUUAUAGUUGCAAACGACUCUAACUACUCUCUAGCAGCUUAGGCUAGCUAGCCAUCAACCACACGUCUUGCACAUGGGCAGUGGAUUUUGAUGGUCAUCUUACAUCGUGCUAGCGAGGGAACCUUGUCUGGGGGUGAACCGCGAAACAGUACCGGACUCGCCUUGUAAUAUCCUGUCUUUCGGAGCUUGCAAGGUUAACCAAAAGAGAGACUAAACAUGUAGCGCCUUGGAUGUAGGCUUUCUGGACGCGGGUUCAAGUCCCGCCGCCUCCACCA